rnacentral:rRNA from 1 species
AGCAGCCGCGGUAAUUCCAGCUCCAAUAGCGUAUAUUAAAGUUGUUGCAGUUAAAAGCUCGUAGUUGAAUUUCGGGAUCAAUACGUCGGUCGUGCUUCGGUACGUACUGGCGUAAUUGAUUUCUCCCUUCUGACGAACCAUGAUGUCAUUAACUUGGUGUCAUGGGAAAUCAGGACUGUUACUUUGAAAAAUUAGAGUGUUUAAAGCAGGCUAACGCUUGAAUACAUUAGCAUGGAAUAAUGAAAUAGGACGUUUGGUCCUAUUUUGUUGGUUUCUAGGAUCGACGUAAUGAUUAAUAGGGAUAGUUGGGGGCAUUAGUAUUCAAUUGUCAGAGGUGAAAUUCUUGGAUUUUAUUGAAGACUAACUACUGCGAAAGCAUUUGCCAAGGAUGUUUUCAUUAAUCAAGAACGAAAGUUAGGGGAUCGAAGACGAUCAGAUACCGUCGUAGUCUUAACCAUAAACUAUGCCGACUAGGGAUCGGAUGAUGUUAAUUUUUAAUGACUCAUUCGGCGUCCG